CCUACUUAAAAAACACGCAAGGCGUGUUCCGUCCGCCGCCGAAUAUUCCUUCGCUCCCCUCGUGAUUCCUUCGCCUCCCCCGCCUCACUCUAUCGACCCCAGCCGCGCCUCCCUCGGCCCUGCCGCCUCCCUCCGCCGCCACGCAACGACAUGAAGCUGGACAUAUCCGCGGUUGAGAACCACAUCAGCUUCCCCGCCAGCGACGACGGUGGCCUCUCUUUCGCCGCCGAUGCUGGCCAUGGAGCUCCCUGCCUGCGCCGAUGUGAGUAGCCGAUCCCCCUCCCCGCCGCCUCCUCCGAUUGAUGCGUUGCCGCCAAGUCAAGCGGGUGGCCGACGCCGUACAACCUUGAUGGCCAAAUGGAUCCACGAGAUCCAUGCGCUGCCAGCUCAACGGGUGGCUGGCACCGUCGAGGUGGUGGGCAGAAGGAUCCGCUAGGCUCGCGCACGCCGUCGACUCUGGUGGGUGACCAAUGCCAUCGAUGCGGUGGAUGGAUGGAUCCGCGAGACCCGCGCACGCCACCAGGAGCCUGACCAGCAGCAGCCGCCCUGUAGUGGUAGUUCCAUCGCAGAUGUGGAUGCUAGCUUUAUCCAAGCUUAGAUAAGUGCUUAUUUUCUCAAUGCUUUGAUAUAUAUAUGUUGUUGCAUAAUUCAUAAUGAGUUGUGCCAUUGUGACUGAAACUUACUGCAGCUUUAGUCGCAAGGUUCUUUUAGUUUUUGGUAGUGAAACUUACUUCCGAUAACCAAGAAGACAAAUGGUAUAGAAGAUGAAGCAAAGUUCAGACGAUAUUUGACAAUCAGGCGAUCGGCAUUGCAAAGAAAAUCUGUGGUAUUUCGCAGAUGAUGCCUUCAGCCAGAUAUUCAUUGUGAAUGCAUUUUUGGCAGUUGUAGUUUAUUAUAUUUGAAAUACCAGAUGGAGCCCCUCUCACCUGUGGUUCCAAACUUUGUAGGAACUACUAAACCGGGUCCUUACGCGACUGAUUUUUCUCAGAAAGCACUAAAAGUGGAGAAAGGGCCUUGAUCUGUCGACUUUUCCAACUAGCAAGCACGCAAGAUGAAUAGGUUAUUGUGCGUUCAU